rnacentral:rRNA from 1 species
UUAAAAAGCUCGUAGUUGGAUUUCUGUCGAAGGCGGCCGGUCCGCACUAUGUGCGUGUAUCUGGUUCGGUUUUGGCAUCCUCUUGGGGAACGUUUCUGUGCUUGAUUGCAUGGGGCGGGAUUCAAGACUUUUACUUUGAGGAAAUUAGAGUGUUCACGGCAAGCUUUCGCUUUGAAUACAUUAGCAUGGAAUAAUAAUAUAGGGCGUAAGUUCUAUUUUGUUGGUUUCUAGGACAUACGCAAUGAUUAAUAGGGACAAUUGGGGGCAUUCGUGUUAACGCGUCAGAGGUGGAAUUCUUAGAUUGCGUUACGACGAACUACUGCGAAAGCAUUUGCCAAGGAUGUUUUCAUUGAUCAAGAACGAAAGUAUGGGGAUCGAAGACGAUUAGAUACCGUCGUAGUCUAUACCAUAAACUAUGCCAAUUAGAGAUUGGAGGUCGUUCGUUUUAUGACUCCUUCAGCACCUUAUGAGAAAUCAAAAUUUUUGGGUUCCGGGGGGAGUACGGUCGCAAGGCUGAAACUUAAAGGAAUUGACGGAAGGGCACCACCAGGAGUGGAGCCUGCGGCUUAAUUUGACUCAACACGGGAAAACUUACCAGGUCCAGACAUAGUAAGGAUUGACAGAUUGAUAGCUCUU